AGUAACAUAAAAACAACGCUGGAGACUCCGAGCCUCGCUUUCACACCCACAUUAACUGGAUAAAUCCGCUUUUAAUUCACAUUUCGGGACAUUUCUACGACCUUUUGCCUUGAGACUACCAUCACCCAGUUCUCCUUUACCUGUUUUGUAAGGAUGUUUUAAAUGUUGGUGUGAAUUUAUUAAAUAGUGGGGUUUUCUUUAUGAAUACACUUGAACCAUCACAUACUGGCUAAGAUUCUGAUCUCGUCUUUACGUCUUUGUCAUCACCUAGACGUCCACCAGCAGUUACCCAGAUGAAGACGGGUUCCCUUCUGAGUCUGGUUCCUCUCAAGGUUUCUUCCCCAUAUUAUCUUAGGGAGUUUUUCCUCGCCACAGGCUUGCUUAUUAGGGAUAAAUUCACACACUUAAAAUCUGUAUCCUGUGUUUAUAUGUUUCUGUAAAGCUGCUAUGAGACAAUGUCCAUUGUAAAAAGUGCUAUACAAAUAAAAUUGCAAUGAAUUGCAUUGAACUCCGCGUGUACCGACAUGGCCCUAAGGACAUCAUAGCCACCCUCCUGUGUUU
ensembl:lncRNA